rnacentral:tRNA from 2 species
UAGAAAGUGGUGUAAUGGGAGCACUUGGGGUUUUGAUCUCCAUGAUGAGGGUUCGAGUCCCUUCUUUCUAA